CUCCUGUUGAGCUGAAACUAAGGACAGAUAUUCAGCUCUUCAUUCAGCAAGUGGAAUGAGGGUGGGAACAGCCACUGAAAUUUGGCCUCAGAAGACACCAGGAGCUCUUCAUUCAGCAGGUGGAAUGAGAGUGGGAACAGCCACUGAAAUUUGGCCUCAGAAGACACCAGGAGCUCUUCAUUCUGCAGAUGGAUUGAGAGUGGGAACAGCCGCCGAAACUGGGCGUCAGAAAACACAAAGAGGUGGAAUGAGAGCGGAAACAGCUACCGAAAUUUGAUCUCAGAAGACACCAGGAUAUGGAUUGAGAGUGGGAACAGCCACCGAAAUUUGUCAUCAGAAGACACCAACAGCAGGUGGAUUGAGAGUGGGAACAGCCGCCGAAAUUGGGCGUCAGAAGACACCAAGAGGUGGAUUGAGAGUGGGAACAGCCACCGAAAUUUGGCCUCGG